ACCACGCACAAAACACCGCUCCUCUCGAUCCCCUGAUGCGAUCUUCCUGGAACCGUCGCCUUCGCGGAUCCGCCGCCGCAACCAUCGCCUUGUUCCCGUGCGCCGCCGUCGCACCCUCUCCCAGCGCCCGAGCAUCCCCGUCGCUCCCUCUCCCAGCGCCGCCUCCGCCGCCAUGGCCCCUCCCCUUGCGCCCCGAACUGCCUCGCGCACUCGUCGCCCGUUAUACCACAGAGGAGGCGAAGACAGCGGCAGCGCGCCGCCUACUUCGCCGGUCGCCGCCUCGGCUGCACUCGGCGGGCGCCACGCCGUCUCCUCUCCAUGGGAGUGGCGGAUGGAAAUAUAUCAACGAUGGGGUGUGGUUCGUUCCUGUCAGGUUUUUUUUUUUUUGACGCUGCUGCUCCUGGAGCACCAACUCAAAAUUUUCUCAUAUACUGGUGUUGCCCGAGCACGAGCACAAGGCGACAUUUUUGCUGGCCAUCUUGUUCAACACCUGCUGUAGGGGAGGGGGAGGAGGCCGGCAACAGGAGAAGGCGCAUGCCAGCGAGGAGGGCGAGCAGAAGGGUGCAGUGGAGGACGAUCAGGGGGAGACGUACGUGCCGUCGGGAUUGGUGAGCGCUCAGGCCUAGGUUUGUGUUGUUCUCGACUUGAGUAUAUGGGGCUCGAAUUGUGAUGGAUAUGAGGUGAGGAAAGAAGGUUUGGUAUGCAACUCACAGUUCUCUCGGUAUGUUUUCGGUACAUGUUCGGAAUAUCUGCAACUAGGUGCAUACAAGAUGAAUCUUCAAGACAUGCUAUCUUGUUUCGUAAGUACUGCUAUUUAAGGGCCGCCGCCGCCGCCGUCUGUAGCAACGCAUAGGCCGCUUGCCCAGCUCCCUCAUUCCGAGCACGACACCACGCGUCGGAGCUUGUCGGGAGGCACGGAAGGACGAACAGAGUUCUACCGGUGAUCCGUGUUGUCGCUGACGGUGUCAUAGGAUCUGCGGUGCACGUGGACAAGGCGAUGGGGCUGCCAACCUACCUCCUGUUCACCACAGCGCGUGUGGAUUCUUGGGCUACCUCAACUUGGAUCAGCUUUUUCAAGAGGGGAUGCUUGCCAUUCAGAGGAUCUGAUGGAGAAGAUAAAGACAACUAAUACGCUGAAAAUGAUUUUACAUCCUGGUUCGAAAAGUAAAAGGGAAAUCUUCGAGUAAAGAUUUUGAGCAUCUUGAAGGUUCAUCACAUGAUUUUCACUACUACAUCAUGUUUUAUGUAACUCCACACCACCAGAGUCUGGUAAUGCAAUUCCACCUCCCUUUCUCUGUUCUGAGUCAAUGUUAAUCAUCCGACCGGAGUUGGUCAAUGCUAGAGGAUUUGGCUUGGUGGUGGCAUUGCAUAUAGCAGCUUGUGGAAUGGUAAUGUUGCUGCCGUAGCCUUGAUUGCUUUGUAGUUUCAUCCUAGGAAGCAUUUAGGCUGUUAUGAACCUGGAUGUUUCACUUUAGGUUGGUUAAUUCAACUUCUUGAUGUCAGUGACGUAUUGUUUUUCUUUAACCUGCUAGGAGUCUUGGGUACUGUCAUGGUGAUGAUGUCGAACAACCUUCAUCGACAGGUACAAAUAAUUUAGGUUGUGUUUUGCCUUGUGUUAUCCCGUCUCUAUUUUUUUAUUCAUGUACCUUUGUAUAGUUGUAUCCCCUUUUAAACAGUUGAGAUUUAUUGGCCAAGAGAAACUCUUGUUACAUUUGAGGCUAAUAUCUUGCUAAUUUCAGUUAUGUUAUUGUGAAACCAAGACCUUGGAAAAUACCGGUUAGUGAUCCUAACAAGUAUUUGUGUGCAGUAUACUAAGAUUGUUGUGUCUUGCUUUAAAUCUUCCUGUAUAUAAGAAAAUUUAAAGUAGCACCGGAACUUCUUAAACUAACCAGCCAACAAAUAUAUCAGCAUAUUCACGGUUAAGACAACUCACAAAUAGAAAUAUUUUGCUGGCAAUAUCUACCUAAUACGGCUGAAGAUAAAUGUUCUUGAUGUGUGCCGCUUGGAUAAGAGAUUUGAUGAUGCUAAUUGAGAACUUUACCUGACCAAUAAUCCGCGACAUUGUGAUGGUUGCAUAGAUUAGAAAAUGAAUGGACAAUGUAUUUUUUUGCCAUCUUAAUGUUAAAUAAUUACCCUGUACCUUAGUACCUAUAGAUAAUAUUUUUGUAUAGCAAAGGUGAUGGCUAGAUCAUAAAAUUGGCGGAUUUGCAUGCCUGAUUUGAAAGUACAAUUCGUACUCAUAGUGAGAUUUUUUAUCGCUCAAUAUAUCAGAUGCUUCAUUCUUGGGUGUUCAUUGUAUAUCUUAUUACGAUGAAGACAUACUUCCCAUUGUGUUAUCCUGCCAAUGAAUGUAUUCAAUUUAUAGUGUAGUGGCUAAUUUCAUGAACUAAAUAGGUGUUAUAGAAUUUUUUUUCUUUUCAUUUUAAUUGUGUAUAUGUAGUUCUGCACAACACGCCUUCUUGCUGAGUUAUAUCAACAGAAGCCAGUAUGCUAAAAUUAACAAAGCUCUUAUGCGACAUUUACUUAUGUGAUGUGGAUCAAUCUAAACAAGUUUUUUUGGUUAGUUUGUCUAUUUUUUCAGGGAUAAACUGCCUUAACCGAAGCAGCAUAUGUUGGAGAAUGUAGAUUCAGCUUUCGUUUCAGUAGCUUUGGAGGUAUCCUAUACGACUAUGAGUGAUAUACUCUCCUGUCUCCUCCCUCCAUUUUACUCGAGUUAACCCCUGUACGCACAUCUCUACGUCUGCCUUCAGGAACGGGGUGAUACGUGAUAUACGCAUACAGGUAAGGAAUGCUGGUUGUCUGUGAUUUUCAUGGUGGUGGAAAGGAAUGUGCGGAGAGACAAGCUGCAGGGACCAUAUGAUGCAGAAGGAACGGAGACGGGCCAUGCAAGGUAUGUCCUCAUUUCACGACCCCCUCACGCAGUGACUGCUCCCGAAACUAUCCCAGCCUCACAGUGUCAUCUCCUACACGCAUCUCCCUGUUAGGCCACCGGAAUCAAUAUCCACUUAAUUUUCCUUCUUAAUCUUAUAAAAAAUAUUAGAAAAUAAAAGUUCAUGUAAAAUACAAAACACACACACAAAAGUUAUUAGCGAAAACCAAGCUGCCGCUUAACCCUCCCUUCGGUCCCCCCCACCCAUCCCACCCACCGACAUCGGCAGGCAUCACCAAGCAAAGCCCGAUUGGCGGUUCUUCUAAGACUGGCGCAGGAUGAGUGGUGCGAGCGGUAGCGUUGUGCUUGCGUGGGGGCGGGCGUUCAGUUGGCGGUGUUGGCUUGCUUUCGCGGUGUGGCGAUGACAUGGGGCAUCUAUCGGUGGCGCGUCUUUGGGAAUCAAGAUCUGGUGAGGCAUACUGUCUGGAGUCCGGGCGGCCCCUUCCGACUUCGGCGACUGGACGACAGCAAGCGGCACGGGAUGGAGCCUACGCUUUGCGGUGAGAUUUCUUGGUUGCGGGUUGUGGUCAUCUUGGUUCCCUCGUUGGUGUGAGGGCGGCCGCUGGUGGCCUCAUGUGGAUUUGAGCCGGCUGGUGCAGCGGGCCAACACAUCAGUGUCUGGUGGGGAGGUUGGUUGGAGGGAUGAGAGGCUUCGAUGAUGGUCGAGCCACGUGUUGAUGUCAUGGGGUCGCCGAUCGUGGGUGCAUAUCACACCUUCUCCUCACCUUUUCGUCGGUCGAGUGCUUGGUGGCUCAUAUGUGACAAUGUCCGGGGCUGCCGAUUCGACAAAGCUGGGGCCUUUGGAUGAUAUCGGGGUUGUUUGGAGGCAAGGUGGCGGCCUUGGCGGUGAGGGAGGCGGUGUUCAUGAGUAGAGCGCACGUCUCGGGUGCGGGCUGGCUGCCAUGGCCACGCGAGUGGCAUGGUCGUUCAUGUAUGUCGUAGAAUGGCCUUGGUGCUGCUGGUGCUUUGGCAUCUAGCAGUACUUGCUUCGGCAGAGGUGUGUGAGUGUCGAUAUGCAUAAGUUGCAUGAUUUUUGCCAGGUCGACUUGUUGCGUCCGCGGGUGUCGUUACCUCCUUGAAGGUUCCUUCGUGGUCGCUCCAUGUUCUUCGUGUUGCUCCUUGUGAAAAUUAGAUCCUCGGGAUCAAGCGGUGGCGACACUCCAGUGGCAUAUCCUUCUUAUAGGCACCAGUUUAGAGUACAUGCUUCGUCGGCGUGCGGUUUCACCUCUUCGCGGUUCCUAGCUCAUGGUGGAGGUCUCGGUGCAGUCGAAACGAUUGGUCCAUCUGUAGUGUGCUCGGUGGUUGAUUGAUGGGUGUUGUUGUUGUUCCUAGCCACCCUUGUUUUCUUCCUUGUGUUUGUUUUGUGUAUGUGGUGGUGACGUGUUGUAUGUGGUUGCGUGUAUAUUAGUCGUUGCUGCAGGAUAAGUUUCUUUUUCAGUAAAUUCUUUAGUUGGCCCGUAGCAACGCAUGGGCACUCUACUAGUAUAUGGAAAUUUACCAUCAGUGAAUAAAUAUCUCUUAUAUAAUCACUGAAUUAUCCAUUCGAUAUAGGUUAUAGAUUUGUUGAAGGUAAACAAAACUGUACAUUCUUUCCAACAACUUCAUGCUUGUUAACAUUGAAGUACUGUUCAUUGAUGCUAAAGUCAAAUUAUGACCAGCAUAUCCAAUUGAGUGUGAUUUCUGUGAAACCAUUACCCUUUUAGACUUUUCAGCAAUA